rnacentral:rRNA from 1 species
AUUGAACGCUGGCGGCAGGCCUAACACAUGCAAGUCGAGCGGAGCGGCGGACGCGUGAGUAAUACCUACGCAUCUUCCUGCUAGUGUUGGAUAACGUCCAGAAACUGGCGCUAAUACCUCAUACUAUCAGUUGAGCCUUGGUCUGUUUCGCUAGUUGGUGGGGUAAAGGCCUACCAAGGCGACGAUCCGUACCGGGUCGGAGAGGAUGAUCAGUCACACGGGACCUGGGACACGGUCCAGACCCCUACGGGAGGAGGAAGGGGGGAAUAUUGGACAAUGGGGGAAGGCCUGAUGCAGACAGGCGGCGGGUGGGUAGAAGGUCUUGGGAUUGUAAAGUACUUUAAGUUGGGAGGCGUUACCAACAGAAAAAGCACCGGCUAACUUCGUGCCAGCAGCCGCGGUAAUUC